rnacentral:rRNA from 1 species
CAAUAGCGUAUAUUAAAGUUGUUGCAGUUAAAAGCUCGUAGUUGGAUUUCUGCCGAGGACGACCGGUCCGCCCUCUGGGUGAGCAUCUGGGACGGCCUGGGCAUCUUCUUGGGGAACGUAGCUGCACUUGACUGUGUGGUGCGGUAUCCAGGACUUUUACUUUGAGGAAAUUAGAGUGUUUCAAGCAGGCGCACGCCUUGAAUACAUUAGCAUGGAAUAAUAAGAUAGGACCUCGGUUCUAUUUUGUUGGUUUCUAGAGCUGAGGUAAUGAUUAAUAGGGAUAGUUGGGGGCAUUAGUACUUAACUGUCAGAGGUGAAAUUCUCCGAUUUGUUAAAGACUAACUUAUGCGAAAGCAUUUGCCAAGGAUGUUUUCAUUAAUCAAGAACGAAAGUUAGGGGAUCAAAGAUGAUCAGAU